rnacentral:misc_RNA from 1 species
GAUGAAGAACGUAGUGAAAUGCGAUACGUAAUGUGAAUUGCAGAAUUCAGUGAAUCAUCGAGUCUUUGAACGCACAUUGCGCCCCCUGGUAUUCCGGGGGGCAUGCCUGUCCGAGCGUCAUUUCAACCCUCAAGCUCUCCGGAGUAUGGUGUUGGGGCGCCUGGGGCUUUUCGACCUCAGGGCCCUCAAGUCCAUCGGCGGGACCGCCAGGACACUGAGCGCAGUAGUAUUAUUUCGCUCGGUAGGAUCUUCCACGGCGGGUCGAUCUGGCCGCUAAACCCCCCAAUUCUCACCAAAGGUUGACCUCGGAUCAGGUAGGAAUACCCGCUGAACUUAAGCAUAUCAAUAAGCGGAGGA